rnacentral:pre_miRNA from 14 species
CUAUGACUUCCUAAGCCAUAGAUUUUUACUAGGAAGUCAUAGUGAAAGACCCCCGGAGCGGGGAGACCCUCACUCAAGUCUCGGGAUGACGUGACCCCCCAAGAACUCACAAGAGACC